rnacentral:rRNA from 1 species
UGGUGGGGUGACUUGUCUGCUUAAUUGCGAUAACGAACGAGACCUUAACCUGCUAAAUAGCCCGCAUUGCUCCGGCAGUGCGCUGGCUUCUUAGAGGGACUUUCGGCUCAAGCCGAAGGAAAUUUGAGGCAAUAACA